rnacentral:rRNA from 1 species
GACGAACGCUGGCGGCGUGCUUAACACAUGCAAGUCGAGCGGUAAGGCCUUUCGGGGUACACGAGCGGCGAACGGGUGAGUAACACGUGGGUGAUCUGCCCUGCACUUCGGGAUAAGCCUGGGAAACUGGGUCUAAUACCGGAUAUGACCUCCUAUCGCAUGGUGGGUGGUGGAAAGAUUUAUCGGUGCAGGAUGGGCCCGCGGCCUAUCAGCUUGUUGGUGGGGUAAUGGCCUACCAAGGCGACGACGGGUAGCCGACCUGAGAGGGUGACCGGCCACACUGGGACUGAGACAAGGCCCAGACUCCUACGGGAGGCAGCGGUGGGGAAUAUUGCACAAUGGGCGAAAGCCUGAUGCAGCGACGCCGCGUGAGGGAUGACGGCCUUCGGGUUGUAAACCUCUUUCAGCAGGGACGAAGCGCAAGUGACGGUACCUGCAGAAGAAGCACCGGCUAACUACGUG